UAUAGAGUAAAGGUUCUUUAAUUUGGACAUGUGAUACUCUCUUCAGACAUUGUCCUACAUGGGUCCUUCAUGUUCAAUCAUUCAUGUAUAACUUGAUUUCUAUUCACUCCCUUACAGUACACCUUAGAUAUAUUGUAUUUUUCAAGGAUACACUUUGUUUGUUGUAGGCCCCUUCAGUGAAGAGGCCUCAGGUGAUUGAUAGUAGCAAAGAAGGUCUGUACUAUCUCUGUUCCAGAUGUUUGAAGGGUAAAAAGACUGUAUUUCCUUCUAUUGUUUCAGCUUCCUACUG
rnacentral:lncRNA from 1 species